UUUGAAUUAGCUCAAGAGCUUAGAGGGCCACAGUUGGAUAAGGGAAAGGAAAAAGUGAUCGAAUAGCCGUUGAAGCCGUUCGACAACAUCCGAGAUUUUGCUCGUUAGCUAUCGGAUUCGGGAUCAUCGAAGUCGAAGUCAUCCACACUAUCAAAGCCCUUUUGGUACUCUUUUAGUUGAACUCGGGAUAUGGCAUGUAUAGGACUACCCUUUGUUGUUUUUCAAGUACUUUUUGUGAUGUAUGUGUGUACAGCCAUGCGAAAAUGGCUCGUAGAAGUGGAGUAUGGCAUUAGACCAUUUGUGUUUAUGUAAAUAUAUAUAUGGUUUCAUGA